CGUUUAUAACUCUGCGCAGCCCUCCCCUUUUAUUUUUAAAACCCUAGCAGCAAUCUCAUCUCCCUUUAAGUCAUCGCCGCUCACUCCUCCAUUUCCCUUCACGCCAUCUGACCGGUCAGGUAAGCUUGUCGACCGUCUCCUUUAACUUCGUUCCAGCUGCUGUCGACCCGAAGUCGCGUUCGCUCGAAACCAGCGAGCUUUGCUCGCGAAUGCACCGUCGUCGCGGCCUGCUUUGACCGUCCGUGGCCAUGGUGUGGCCGGAAGUGACGUGGGGAAAAUCUAUCUGGUCGGAAAUUCACUGGGCAGACCCUCGUCAGCCUUAUUUUCUUUAUAUACUUUCGCCGUUUGGUAGCUAAAUGGCCUUAGUGGCCAGCCGUUUAAGGCCACGGCGAGCGUGGCCGUGAGUUCGCCGUCCCUUGGGGCUGCUGUUGGAAGUUUUGAUCCGGGAAUCGAGUUACCGCCUUCGUCACCGUUACCUGCUAACAUCGAACCGACUCGAGCUGCUUGAGUUACCUGCACUGAUUCGGAUCGACCGGCCGACCGAGGAAAGUGUUAUCAC